UCGGACAUAAUAGUGGAACGAAUAUUACCUUCUUCUACUUCAGGUCUCAAGGAAUCGAUCUCAGCGGGAGUGAAGAAGAUACAGAGUACAGAUUAGAUCGAAGUUUUCUGAUAAAAUCUUCAGUUGAUAUUUCGGGUUGAUUGCUUCUCGAUAUCCAAGAUGGUUGUACUUGCGGCUUCAAUUGUAAGCAAGUCUGGCAAGUGCUUCUCUCCAGGCAGUUUGUGGACAUGACUGGAUAAGAAUUGAAGGUCUUCUUGCAGCUUUUCCUAAGUUGGUAGGACAGGCAAGCAACACAUGUUGAGA